GGGGGAUAUUGCACAAUGGAGGAAACUCUGAUGCAGCGACGCCGCGUGAGUGAAGAAGUAUUUCGGUAUGUAAAGCUCUAUCAGCAGGGAAGAUGAUGACGGUACCUGACUAAGAAGCCCCGGCUAACUACGUGCCAGCAGCCGCGGUAAUACGUAGGGGGCAAGCGUUAUCCGGAUUUACUGGGUGUAAAGGGAGCGCAGGCGGUUUUGCAAGUUGAGAGUGGAAGCAGGGGGCUCAACCCCCUGACUGCUCCCAAAACUGUAGGAUUUGAGUAUGGGAGAGGCAGGCGGAAUUCCUAGUGUAGCGGUGAAAUGCUUAGAUAUUAGGAAGAACACCGGUGGCGAAGGCGGCCUGCUGGACCAAAACUGACGCUGAGGCUCGAAAGCGUGGGUAGCAAACAGGAUUAGAUACCCUGGUAGUCCACGCUGUAAACGAUGAAUACUAGGUGCUGGGAGGCAUAAGCUUUUCGGUGCCGUCGCAAACGCAUUAAGUAUUCCACCUGGGGAGUACGUUCGCAAGAAUG
rnacentral:rRNA from 1 species